GGUCCUCUGUGGGCAUCUUACUAGACAGUGCUGGAUUUCUUGGAUCUAUUCUAACACUGUCUGGUAACGAUGUUUAAAGGGUGAACC
ensembl:miRNA gga-mir-200a gga-mir-200a